UACGAAGGGGGCUAGCGUUGCUCGGAAUCACUGGGCGUAAAGGGUGCGUAGGCGGGUCUUUAAGUCAGGGGUGAAAUCCUGGAGCUCAACUCCAGAACUGCCUUUGAUACUGAGGAUCUUGAGUUCGGGAGAGGUGAGUGGAACUGCGAGUGUAGAGGUGAAAUUCGUAGAUAUUCGCAAGAACACCAGUGGCGAAGGCGGCUCACUGGCCCGGUACUGACGCUGAGGCGCGAAAGCGUGGGGAGCGAACAGG
rnacentral:rRNA from 1 species